AUGUGCGGUGGCGCCAUCCUAGUGAAGCUGAUCCCGCCGUCGGCGGGCCGUGCCCCGAAGCAGGUGGCCGCGGGCUGGGUCUCGCCCAAGAAGGGCGACAUGAGCAAGAGGCACCACAGCAGCAUCCCCGAUGUCGACGACUUCAAGGCCGCCUUCGAGGACUUUGAUGACGACUAUGACCGCGAGGCCGUCUUACCACUUGAGGUUGAAAUACCGUCGCUCCGUGUGGUGAUACGUGAUGAACUGACAGAAGAUGAACAAGUCAAGUUACGAAAAGGAGAACUGGUGCUGGUUCUUCGGCGUCCUAUUGUGCUCAUAGGAAAAGGUAAAGGAAAAUUUGAGCCCAAAUGGGAGGGGCCAUAUGUCAUUGAACAGAAGGAGCUGGACGCUAUGAUGGCCAAGCCUGAGCUGAUGGAGUGUUUCGACAUGGACGCCUUCGUCGACCUGACCACUGCUUUCACCGCGCUACCGCCUGUCAUGGCAAGCUCCUUCGCCGACAGUGGCGCGAAGAAGCUGAUGGUCGAUGAGGAGUCGUCGGAUGGGAGCGGCGGCGAUGCCAUCCUGGGGUUCGACCCGUUCAUGCUGUUCCAGCUCCCCUGCUCGGACACGUACGAAUCCAUCGACAGCCUCUUCGCCGGUGACGCCGUCAUCCAGGAUGCCCUCGGCGUCGACAGUGGCAUCAUUGGCAUGGAGGGUGUCAGCCUCUGGAGCUUCGAGGAGUUCCCCAUGGACAGCGCCAUUUUUUGA
rnacentral:rRNA from 1 species